AGCCAGCAUGGCGUAAUGGUUUGAGUGUUGGACUACAGCUGUGGAGACCAGGGUUCGAAUCCAAGUUUGGUUA